rnacentral:misc_RNA from 1 species
GAUGAAGAACGUAGCGAAACGCGAUAAGUAAUGUGAAUUGCAGAAUUUAGUGAAUCAUCGAACUUUUGAACGCACAUUGCGCCCGUCAGUAUUCUGACGGGCAUGCCUGUCCGAGCGUCAUUUCAACCCUCAAGCACUGCUUGGCGUUGGCGGAUUGCGUGCCCUCGCGGCGCUGCAACCGCCCAAAUACAGUGGCGGUCCCGCUGCGGCUCCCUUUGCGUAGUAACUCACCUCGCACUGGACCGGGCGGCGGCCUGCCGUAAAACCCCAACUCACGAAAUGUUGACCUCGGAUCAGGUAGGAAUACCCGCUGAACUUAAGCAUAUCAAUAAGCGGAGGA